ensembl:lncRNA
GAUAAAAUUACAAAGGACUUCUGGUCUGGGAAAUUUUGGUCAGGCUUCUGAAACCUGAAACUGUUUGAAGACCUCUUAAAAGACAUUUAUUUCACAUUAAAAAUGUAUUCCAUAGAGAAAAAAGUUUUAUUUUAGGAACAGCCUGUCCUUUACAUAACAUUAAGCAGUAAGCAGUUGCAUUAAGUGACUUUUUCUCUUAGACAAAAACGCUAGCAAGAAGUCAUGCGAGCUCCUGCUUCAGAAGACUGCACUAACUGCAUGGUGAUGUGGCACUCGUGUUCUUGGAAAAAAACGCCUGGUGAAGGUAUGAGUGAUGGCAAACAAUGCGUCCUUGCCUGUGUUUGUGCAGGCCUAAAGGUGUGCUCCUGUAGGAAGUGUCUCAUCUGAAGUAGCGUCGAGCACCCACAGACCUCAAACAAGCCGCUUCUGAAGACCAGUUAUGGCAAAAGUUUGAAUACUUUCUAGAGAAACAUACUAAACAUGGUCAAAAAUAAUCUUGUUGCAAUAAAACUCCUUUUAAACUCUAUCUUCAUUUCCGACCCUGUACAGAAUAAAAUUCAAGUCAUUAACCAUAGCUUUUAAGGUUUCAUGUGUGUGCCUCCC